AACGAACGCUGGCGGCAGGCUUAACACAUGCAAGUCGAACGCCCCGCAAGGGGAGUGGCAGACGGGUGAGUAACGCGUGGGAAUCUACCUAGUUCUACGGAACAACACAGGGAAACUUGUGCUAAUACCGUAUACGCCCUACGGGGGAAAGAUUUAUCGGAAUUAGAUGAGCCCGCGUAAGAUUAGCUAGUUGGGGGGGUAAUGGCCUACCAAGGCGACGAUCUUUAGCUGGUCUGAGAGGAUGAUCAGCCACACUGGGACUGAGACACGGCCCAGACUCCUACGGGAGGCAGCAGUGGGGAAUAUUGGACAAUGGGCGAAAGCCUGAUCCAGCCAUGCCGCGUGAGUGAUGAAGGCCUUAGGGUUGUAAAGCUCUUUCAGUAGGGAAGAUAAUGACGGUACCUACAGAAGAAGCCCCGGCUAACUUCGUGCCAGCAGCCGCCGUAAGAC
rnacentral:rRNA from 1 species